rnacentral:piRNA from 1 species
GUCUGGCGGGCACUGCAGCAAGGA